GAUGAACGCUGGCGGCGUGCCUAAUACAUGCAAGUCGAGCGAACAGACGAGGAGCUUGCUCCUCUGACGUUAGCGGCGGACGGGUGAGUAACACGUGGAUAACCUACCUAUAAGACUGGGAUAACUUCGGGAAACCGGAGCUAAUACCGGAUAAUAUAUUGAACCGCAUGGUUCAAUAGUGAAAGACGGUUUUGCUGUCACUUAUAGAUGGAUCCGCUCCGCAUUAGCUAGUUGGUAAGGUAACGGCUUACCAAGGCAACGAUGCGUAGCCGACCUGAGAGGGUGAUCGGCCACACUGGAACUGAGACACGGUCCAGACUCCUACGGGAGGCAGCAGUAGGGAAUCUUCCGCAAUGGGCGAAAGCCUGACGGAGCAACGCCGCGUGAGUGAUGAAGGUCUUCGGAUCGUAAAACUCUGUUAUUAGGGAAGAACAAAUGUGUAAGUAACUAUGCACGUCUUGACGGUACCUAAUCAGAAAGCCCCGGCUAACUACGUG
rnacentral:rRNA from 1 species